CCUACCUCUCUUGGAGCUUCCACAUCCAUCAGGAAAUCCUCGGUAGCAUGGAACAACAUUGUCAGGGAGCAGGCAGGGGAGGAGGAUGGCAAGGGUUCCACAAGCAAGGUCCUGACCUUGCAAGGAUCCUUGGAGAUGGAGAUCUGCCAGGGGAAGUUUUGCCACUUGCAUUUUCUGCCUUCACUGUGGAUGUGAAGUGUUCCCAAAUUUAACAUUAUAAGAAUGCGGUUUAAAAAAAUUGUUUAAGGCUCUGUGACCAUG
rnacentral:lncRNA from 1 species